UGGCAGUGAGUAUAUAAAGACGUGUGUUUAACAGCUGUUUCAAACUCUUCAGUCAUGGACAGAAGUGUGCUGCUGCUCCUGUUGGGUCUGCAGGUUUUCCUGCUCAUCGCAUCCUUUACUUGUACUAAUGCAGCCGCUCUGGUGACAGAUCCUCAACAACUGCCUCCUUAUAGGGUGGGGAGUAGAAAUGACCACAACAGAGAGACAUUUGGAAACAGAC